AUGGCGCAGGAACCGUCUGCCAAGCGUCAUCAGGGCGAGACGUCCGACCAGAGCAGCAACCUCAACGAUGUUCAUGUCCCCGGAGAGAAGCGCGAGUACACCCGAACCCUCACAAGGGUUGAGCUCCAUGGCAAGGAGACGCUGGAGAUCGUCUGCACCAGCGAACCAGACAAGGCCGACAAGAUGAUCGGCAGGUUCAAGAUGAAGAGCCUCGGCUUGUAUCCUAGAUUCAUUGAUGUUGAUGUGGAGUUUACUAGAAGAGAUGAACCUCUGCAGAUGGCAGCAGUCAUGCAGUUAUGCAUAGGAACUAUGCUUGGUGUACCACAUCGCAGCAGCCACAAAAUGGUCUUUUAUUACACGAAAAGAAAAAUAAACUUGAAGCCCAAGCACCUCAAAAACUUCCUGAAGGAGCAUAAAUUGUACACCUUUGUAGGUUUCAGCAUUGAAGAUGACAAACAGAUGAUGAAGAGGUCUGGUUUGGAGAUCGACCCCAAGGGCUUCAUCGACAUUCAGCGCAAUUGGAGAGUUCCAUACAUCAGCGAAAAAGAGUAUGACUCCUUGGCAGAUGUUGCAGCCAGCGUCAUCCACCCAUUCUACAAAGGCAUGAAGAAUAAGAUCGACAAGGAGAAAGACCUUAAGUUGUGGGGGAUAAGCCCGCUACCAGAUUACCUCAUCGAGUACGCAGCUACAGAUGCGUACGCCACCUACAAGUCAUGGAAGAUAAUCGACAACAUCACAGUAGGUGCGGAAAUUUCAAAGGCGCGGGAAGCUGGCCCCUACUACCACUGCCACUACGCGGGUUGA
rnacentral:rRNA from 1 species